GACGUAGGGGGCCAGCGUUGUUCGGAAUUACUGGGCGUAAAGAGCGUGUAGGCGGUCCGGUAAGUCAGCUGUGAAAGUCAAGGGCUCAACCCUUGAAAGCCGGUUGAUACUGUCGGGCUAGAGUCCGGAAGAGGCGAGUGGAAUUCCCGGUGUAGCGGUGAAAUGCGCAGAUAUCGGGAGGAACACCGGUGGCGAAGGCGGCAUCCUGGACCAAUAUUGACGCUGAGGAGCGAAAGCCAGGGGAGCAAACGGG
rnacentral:rRNA from 1 species